UGCAGCAACGCCGCGUGAGGGAUGACGGCCUAUCGGGUUGUAAACCUCUUUUAGUAGGGAAGAAGCGAAAGUGACGGUACCUGCAGAAAAAGCACCGGCUAACUACGUGCCAGCAGCCGCGGUAAUACGUAGGGUGCAAGCGUUGUCCGGAAUUAUUGGGCGUAAAGAGCUCGUAGGCGGUUUGUCGCGUCUGCUGUGAAAUCCCGAGGCUCAACCUCGGGCUUGCAGUGGGUACGGGCAGACUAGAGUGCGGUAGGGGAGAUUGGAAUUCCUGGUGUAGCGGUGGAAUGCGCAGAUAUCAGGAGGAACACCGAUGGCGAAGGCAGAUCUCUGGGCCGUAACUGACGCUGAGGAGCGAAAGCAUGGGGAGCGAACAGGAUUAGAUACCCUGGUAGUCCAUGCCGUAAACGUUGGGCGCUAGAUGUAGGGACCUUUCCACGGUUUCUGUGUCGUAGCUAACGCAUUAAGCGCCCCGCCUGGGGAGUACGGCCGCAAGGCUAAAACUCAAAGGAAUUGACGGGGGCCCGCACAAGCGGCGGAGCAUGCGGAUUAAUUCGAUGCAACGCGAAGAACCUUACCAAGGCUUGACAUACACCGGAAACGGCCAGAGAUGGUCGCCCCCUUGU
rnacentral:rRNA from 1 species